rnacentral:rRNA from 3 species
GGGUUGUGAGGUUAAGCGACUAAGCGUACACGGUGGAUGCCCUGGCAGUCAGAGGCGAUGAAGGGCGUGCUAAUCUGCGAUAAGCGCCGGUAAGGUGAUAUGAACCGUUAUAACCGGCGAUACCCGAAUGGGGAAACCCAGUGUGACUCGUCACACUAUCAUUAACUGAAUCCAUAGGUUAAUGAGGCGAACCGGGGGAACUGAAACAUCUAAGUACCCCGAGGAAAAGAAAUCAACCGAGAUUCCCCCAGUAGCGGCGAGCGAACGGGGAGGAGCCCAGAGCCUGAAUCAGCAUGUGUGUUAGUGGAAGCGUCUGGAAAGGCGCGCGAUACAGGGUGACAGCCCCGUACACAAAAGCGCAUGUGCUGUGAGCUCGAUGAGUAGGGCGGGACACGUGGUAUCCUGUCUGAAUAUGGGGGGACCAUCCUCCAAGGCUAAAUACUCCUGACUGACCGAUAGUGAACCAGUACCGUGAGGGAAAGGCGAAAAGAACCCCGGCGAGGGGAGUGAAAAAGAACCUGAAACCGUGUACGUACAAGCAGUGGGAGCACAGGUUUACCUGUGUGACUGCGUACCUUUUGUAUAAUGGGUCAGCGACUUAUAUUCUGUAGCAAGGUUAACCGAAUAGGGGAGCCGCAGGGAAACCGAGUCUUAAUUGGGCGUUAAGUUGCAGGGUAUAGACCCGAAACCCGGUGAUCUAGCCAUGGGCAGGUUGAAGGUUGGGUAACACUAACUGGAGGACCGAACCGACUAAUGUUGAAAAAUUAGCGGAUGACCUGUGGCUGGGGGUGAAAGGCCAAUCAAACCGGGAGAUAGCUGGUUCUCCCCGAAAGCUAUUUAGGUAGCGCCUCGUGAAUUCAUCUCCGGGGGUAGAGCACUGUUUCGGCUAGGGGGCCAUCCCGGCUUACCAACCCGAUGCAAACUGCGAAUACCGGAGAAUGUUAUCACGGGAGACACACGGCGGGUGCUAACGUCCGUCGUGAAGAGGGAAACAACCCAGACCGCCAGCUAAGGUCCCAAAGUCAUGGUUAAGUGGGAAACGAUGUGGGAAGGCCCAGACAGCCAGGAUGUUGGCUUAGAAGCAGCCAUCAUUUAAAGAAAGCGUAAUAGCUCACUGGUCGAGUCGGCCUGCGCGGAAGAUGUAACGGGGCUAAACCAUGCACCGAAGCUGCGGCAGCGAACGUAUCACCCAAGACAACUUUACGGAGUUGACGAUUGACGGAGCGAAGCGACGUCAAAGCGUUCAUUAAAGUCGAGUUGGCUUAGGGAUACGUUCGUUGGGUAGGGGAGCGUUCUGUAAGCCUGCGAAGGUGGCCUGUGAGGGUUGCUGGAGGUAUCAGAAGUGCGAAUGCUGACAUAAGUAACGAUAAAGCGGGUGAAAAGCCCGCUCGCCGGAAGACCAAGGGUUCCUGUCCAACGUUAAUCGGGGCAGGGUGAGUCGACCCCUAAGGCGAGGCCGAAAGGCGUAGUCGAUGGGAAACGGGUUAAUAUUCCCGUACUUGGUGUUACUGCGAAGGGGGGACGGAGAAGGCUAUGUUGGCCGGGCGACGGUUGUCCCGGUUUAAGCGUGUAGGUGUGUGUUCCAGGUAAAUCCGGUUCACUUUAACACUGAGGCGUGAUGACGAGGCACUACGGUGCUGAAGCAACAAAUGCCCUGCUUCCAGGAAAAGCCUCUAAGCAUCAGGUAACAUCAAAUCGUACCCCAAACCGACACAGGUGGUCAGGUAGAGAAUACCAAGGCGCUUGAGAGAACUCGGGUGAAGGAACUAGGCAAAAUGGUGCCGUAACUUCGGGAGAAGGCACGCUGACAUGUAGGUGAAGUGAUUUACUCAUGGAGCUGAAGUCAGUCGAAGAUACCAGCUGGCUGCAACUGUUUAUUAAAAACACAGCACUGUGCAAACACGAAAGUGGACGUAUACGGUGUGACGCCUGCCCGGUGCCGGAAGGUUAAUUGAUGGGGUCAGCGCAAGCGAAGCUCCUGAUCGAAGCCCCGGUAAACGGCGGCCGUAACUAUAACGGUCCUAAGGUAGCGAAAUUCCUUGUCGGGUAAGUUCCGACCUGCACGAAUGGCGUAAUGAUGGCCAGGCUGUCUCCACCCGAGACUCAGUGAAAUUGAACUCGCUGUGAAGAUGCAGUGUACCCGCGGCAAGACGGAAAGACCCCGUGAACCUUUACUAUAGCUUGACACUGAACAUUGAGCCUUGAUGUGUAGGAUAGGUGGGAGGCUUUGAAGUGUGGACGCCAGUCUGCAUGGAGCCGACCUUGAAAUACCACCCUUUAAUGUUUGAUGUUCUAACGUGGACCCGUUAUCCGGGUUGCGGACAGUGUCUGGUGGGUAGUUUGACUGGGGCGGUCUCCUCCUAAAGAGUAACGGAGGAGCACGAAGGUUGGCUAAUCCUGGUCGGACAUCAGGAGGUUAGUGCAAUGGCAUAAGCCAGCUUGACUGCGAGCGUGACGGCGCGAGCAGGUGCGAAAGCAGGUCAUAGUGAUCCGGUGGUUCUGAAUGGAAGGGCCAUCGCUCAACGGAUAAAAGGUACUCCGGGGAUAACAGGCUGAUACCGCCCAAGAGUUCAUAUCGACGGCGGUGUUUGGCACCUCGAUGUCGGCUCAUCACAUCCUGGGGCUGAAGUAGGUCCCAAGGGUAUGGCUGUUCGCCAUUUAAAGUGGUACGCGAGCUGGGUUUAGAACGUCGUGAGACAGUUCGGUCCCUAUCUGCCGUGGGCGCUGGAGAACUGAGGGGGGCUGCUCCUAGUACGAGAGGACCGGAGUGGACGCAUCACUGGUGUUCGGGUUGUCAUGCCAAUGGCACUGCCCGGUAGCUAAAUGCGGAAGAGAUAAGUGCUGAAAGCAUCUAAGCACGAAACUUGCCCCGAGAUGAGUUCUCCCUGAGACUUUAGGUCUCCUGAAGGAACGUUGAAGACGACGACGUUGAUAGGCCGGGUGUGUAAGCGCAGCGAUGCGUUGAGCUAACCGGUACUAAUGAACCGUGAGGCUUAACCUUACAACGCCGAAG